AUCCAAUUGACGAGUCCGGAAUAGGACGAAACGUGAGUCUCGGAU
rfam:Schistosoma margrebowiei strain Zambia genome assembly, scaffold: SMRZ_scaffold0000228